GAUGAAGAACGCAGUGAAAUGCGAUAAGUAAUGUGAAUUGCAGAAUUCAGUGAAUCAUCGAAUCUUUGAACGCACAUUGCGCCCGGCAGUACUCUGCCGGGCAUGCCUGUUCGAGCGUCAUUUCAACCCUCAAGCCCUGCUUGGUGUUGGGGUCCCACGGCCGCCGUGGGCCCUGAAAGGAAGUGGCGGGCUCGCUACAACUCCGAGCGUAGUAAUUCAUUAUCUCGCUUAGGGCGUUGGGCGGCGCUCCUGCCGUUAAAGAACCAUCUUUAACUCAAGGUUGACCUCGGAUCAGGUAGGAAUACCCGCUGAACUUAAGCAUAUCAAUAAGCGGAGGA
rnacentral:misc_RNA from 1 species